CCUAAGGUAGCGAAAUUCCUUGUCGGGUAAGUUCCGACCUGCACGAAUGGCGUAACGACUUCCCCACUGUCUCGACCAGGAGCUCGGCGAAAUUGCAGUACGAGUAAAGAUGCUCGUUAAGCGCAGAAGGACGAAAAGACCCCGGGACCUUUACUAUACCUUGGUAUUGGCAUUCGGUGUGGAUUGUGUAGCAUAGGCGGGAGGCUACGAGUCAUGGGCGCCAGCCCGUGAGGAGCCGUCGUUGAAAUACCGCUCUGUUCGCAUUGGAUGUCUAACCUCGACCAGUCAUCCUGGUCAGGGACAGUGCCUGGCGGGUAGUUUAACUGGGGCGGUUGCCUCCCAAAGAGUAACGGAGGCGCUCAAAGGUCCGCUCGGCCCGGUUGGCAAUCGGGUGUCGAGUGUAAUCGCACAAGCGGGCUUGACUGCGAGAUCGACGGAUCGAGCAGGGACGAAAGUCGGAGAUAGUGAUCCGGUGCCGGCGCACGGGCGCGGCAUCGCUCAACGGAUAAAAGGUACCCCGGGGAUAACAGGCUGAUCAUUCCCAAGAGUCCAUAUCGACGGGAUGGUUUGGCACCUCGAUGUCGGCUCGUCGCAUCCUGGGGCUGGAGCAGGUCCCAAGGGUUCGGCUGUUCGCCGAUUAAAGCGGCACGCGAGCUGGGUUCAGAACGUCGUGAGACAGUUUGGUCUCUAUCCUCUGCGCUCGUUGGAAUCCUGAGGAGGCCUGCCCAUAGUACGAGAGGACCUGGGUGGACGAACCUCUGGUAUGCCGGUCGUCACGCCAGUGGCGCGGCCGGUUGGCUACGUUCGGAAGGGAUAACCGCUGAAAGCAUCUAAGCGGGAAGCCUGCUCCAAGAUAAGCAUUCCGUGGAACCUUCGAGUUCCUGUAGUCCCCAUGCAGAACACGUGGUCGAUAGGCCGGACGUGGAAGCCCCGCGAGGGGUGGAGCCGACCGGUACUAAUGGUCGAGAGGCAACCCAC
rnacentral:rRNA from 1 species